GAUGAACGCUAGCGGCAGGCCUAAUACAUGCAAGCUGAACGGUAAAUGUUAUAGCAAUAUAAUAUGAGAGUAGCGUAAGGGUGCGUAACACGUAUGCAAUCUGCCCGCAACAGGAGGAUAGCUCCCCGAAAGGGGAAUUAAUACUCCAUAAGAUCACGAGAGGGCAUCUGAUUGUGAUUAAACUACAAGGGGUUGCGGAUGAGCAUGCGUCUGAUUAGUUAGUUGGUGAGGUACCGGCUCACCAAGACGAUGAUCAGUAGGGGAACUGAGAGGUUGAUCCCCCACACUGGCACUGAGAUACGGGCCAGACUCCUGCGGGAGGAAGCAGUAGGGAAUAUUGGUCAAUGGGUGAGAGCCUGAACCAGCCAUGCCGCGUGCAGGAAGACGGCCUUCUGGGUUGUAAACUGCUUUUAUCUGGGGAUAAAAUAUCCUUGCGAGGAGAAUUGAAGGUACCAGAGGAAUAAGCCACGGCUAACUACGUGCCAGCCGCCGCCGUAAGAC
rnacentral:rRNA from 1 species